UACGUAGGGACCAAGCGUUGUCCGGAUUUACUGGGCGUAAAGGGCGCGUAGGCGGCGCAAUAAGUCACUUGUGAAAUCUCCGGGCUUAACUCGGAGCGGCCAAGUGAUACUGUUGUGCUAGAGUGCAGAAAGGGCAAUCGGAAUUCUCGGUGUAGCGGUGAAAUGCGUAGAUAUCGAGAGGAACACCUGAGGCGAAGGCGGGUUGCUAGGCUGACACUGACGCUGAGGCGCGAAAGCUAGGGUAGCAAACGGG
rnacentral:rRNA from 1 species